rnacentral:misc_RNA from 1 species
CGCACCUUGCACCUUUUGGUAUUCCGAAAGGUACAUCUGUUUGAGUGUCAUGAAUACCUCAACCUCUACAAUUUCUUGUGAAUUGUUUAGGUUGGAUGCUGAGCGUCUGCUGUGCUCUGUACAGCUCGCUUCAAAUGUAUAAGCAAUCUUUGUACCACUCGGAUUGACUUGACGUGAUAAAAUCUUCGUCGAGGAUGCUUCUAUAGCAGCCGGGUUAUACACGAGUCGCUUCUAAACCUGCACUUGUGCAACUUUUAAUUUAGACCUCAAAUCAGAUGGGACUACCCGCUGAACUUAA